rnacentral:rRNA from 1 species
AUUGAACGCUGGCGGCAGGCCUAACACAUGCAAGUCGAGCGAGCGGCGGACGGGUGCGUAAUGUCUGGGAAACUGCCUGAUGGAGGGGGAUAACUACUGGAAACGGUAGCUAAUACCGCAUACCAUCAGAUGUGCCCAGAUGGGAUUAGCGAGUAGGUGGGGUAACGGCUCACCUAGGCGACGAUCCCUAGCUGGUCUGCGAGGAUGACCAGCAACACUGGAACUGAGACACGGGCCAGACUCGGAAGGGAGGCAGCAGUGGGGAAUAUUGUACAAGGGGCGAAAGCAUGAUGCAGCCAUGCCGCGUGUGUGAAGAAGGCAUUAGGGUUGUAAAGCACUUUCAGCGGGGAGGCGUUACCCGCAGAAGAAGCACCGGCUAACUCCGUGCCAGCAGCCGCGGUAAUUC